GACGAACGCUGGCGGCGUGCUUAACACAUGCAAGUCGAACGUGAUUUUUGUGGAAAUUCUUUCGGGAAUGGAAAUGAAAUGAAAGUGGCGAACGGGUGAGUAACACGUGAGCAACCUACCUUACACAGGGGGAUAGCCGUUGGAAACGACGAUUAAUACCGCAUGAGACCACAGAAUCGCAUGAUAUAGGGGUCAAAGAUUUAUCGGUGUAAGAAGGGCUCGCGUCUGAUUAGCUAGUUGGAAGGGUAAAGGCCUACCAAGGCGACGAUCAGUAGCCGGUCUGAGAGGAUGAACGGCCACAUUGGAACUGAGACACGGUCCAAACUCCUACGGGAGGCAGCAGUGGGGAAUAUUGCACAAUGGGGGGAACCCUGAUGCAGCGACGCCGCGUGAGCGAAGAAGGUUUUCGAAUCGUAAAGCUCUGUCCUAUGAGAAGAUAAUGACGGUAUCAUAGGAGGAAGCCCCGGCUAAAUACGUGC
rnacentral:rRNA from 1 species